UACGAAGGGGGCUAGCGUUGUUCGGAAUUACUGGGCGUAAAGGGCGCGUAGGCGGCCUGGCAAGUGGAAGGUGAAAUCCCUCGGCUUAACCGAGGAACUGCCCUCCAAACUGCUUGGCUUGAGUCCGGGAGAGGUGAGUGGAAUUCCCAGUGUAGCGGUGAAAUGCGUAGAUAUUGGGAGGAACACCAGUGGCGAAGGCGGCUCACUGGACCGGAACUGACGCUGAGGCGCGAAAGCGUGGGGAGCAAACGGG
rnacentral:rRNA from 1 species